GGGGGGGGGGGGGGGGGGGGUUGGGGGGGGCGGGUCGAGCGGGGGGGGCCUGCUUUUGUGGGGUGCUCGAGUGGCGGACGGGUGAGUCACGCGUUAGUCACCUGCCCUUGGCUUUGUGAUAACUUCCGGUGGCUGUGGCUCCUACCGGCUAGGCGCUCCUGCUGCAUGGUUGGGGUUGGAACGUUUCGGGUGUUGGUGAUGGCCUCGCUGCUUAUCGGCUUGUUGGUGGUGUAGUGGCUUACCAAGGCUUUGACGGGUAGCCGGCCUGAGAGGGUGACCGGCCACAUUGGGACUGAGAUACGGCCCAGACUCCUACGGGAGGCAGCAGUGGGGAAUAUGGCACAAUGGGCGGAAGACUGAUGCAGCAACGCCGCGUGCGGGAUGACGGCCUUCGGGUUGUAAACCGCUUUCGCCUGUGACGAAGCGUGAGUGACGGUAAUGGGUAAAGAAGCACCGGCUAACUACGUG
rnacentral:rRNA from 1 species